rnacentral:rRNA from 1 species
UGGGGAAUCUUGGACAAUGGGGGCAACCCUGAUCCAGCCAUGCCGCGUGAGUGACGAAGGCCUUCGGGUUGUAAAGCUCUUUCGCCCACGACGAUGAUGACGGUAGUGGGAGAAGAAGCCCCGGCUAACUCUGUGCCAGCAGCCGCGGUGAUACAGAGGUCCCAAGCGUUGUUCGGAUUUACUGGGCGUAAAGGGUGCGUAGGAGGUUGAGAAAGUCGGAUGUGAAAGCUCACUGCUUAACGGUGAAACUGCAUUCGAAACUUCUUGACUCGAGGAUCAGAAAGGAAAGCGGAAUUCUUGGUGUAGCGGUGAAAUGCGUAGAUAUCAAGAGGAACGCCAAUGGCGAAAGCAGCUUUCUGGAGGAUUCCUGACUCUGAGGCACGAAGGCUAGGGUAGCAAACA